GCCAGUAUGGUCUAGUGGUUUGAGUGUUGAUCUGUGACUCUGAAGACCAGGUUUCAAAUCCCUGUUUGGCCA